rnacentral:rRNA from 1 species
GACGAACGCUGGCGGCGUGCUUAACACAUGCAAGUCGAGCGGAAAGGCCCUUCGGGUACUCGAGCGGCGAACGGGUGAGUAACACGUGAGUAACCUGCCCUAGGCUUUGGGAUAACCCUCGGAAACGGGGGCUAAUACCGGAUAUGAUGCCUGGCCGCAUGGCUGGGUGUGGAAAGUUUUUCGGCCUGGGAUGGGCUCGCGGCCUAUCAGCUUGUUGGUGGGGUGAUGGCCUACCAAGGCGACGACGGGUAGCCGGCCUGAGAGGGCGACCGGCCACACUGGGACUGAGACACGGCCCAGACUCCUACGGGAGGCAGCAGUGGGGAAUAUUGCACAAUGGGGCGGAAGCCUG